AGGACCCAGAUGCUAUACAGUGGGAAAACCAGCCUGGCAACAUAAGCUCACAAGCUAUCAGAAAGUUGUAUGGCAACCACCUCCGGCGCCAAAUAGAACUGGCAGACAUAGACAUUCAGUACAAGAAGAAAAAGAUGGAAAAUCUUGCACUGGAGUCCGAAAUAAAAAAGAGGACAAUUAGGAAACUGGACCUUGAAAUAAAAAAACUUGAGAGGGAGGUGAGAUAUGCCUUCAAUGUACACUGUAUGCUAACUGUAACACAAAUGUAUUAAUCAUUAUUUUUCUUUCCUCCCCCAGCUCCAAGAAGAUGACACAGCUCAAAAUAAAAAUUAGCAAUCAGUACAACCAAGUCAUCGUUAUAAGGCAUCGCCCUCUUUUGCCCACCCCCCCAGCACCAGGUGUGGCCACUAGCCUAUAUGAAGGCCCAAAAUUGUGUGUUCCUUUCUGCUCUGACAAUGGCAUGCCCAUUCGUGCGAGAUGUGGUGGAUGAAGAAGCACUUGUGCUGAGGAGAGCCUUCAGGCGAGAAAGGGUCUUCAGGGACCGGUUGGACCCACUGGCCUUCCCUGAUGACCAUCUAUAUGAAAGAUACAGGUUUUCUGCAGAUGGCAUCAGGUAUCUAUGCAGACUACUGGGUCCCAGGAUUAAGCACCGCACUGCACGGAGCCAUGCACUGAGUGUGGAGCAAAUGGUUUGUGUGGCCUUGCGCUUUUUUGCUAGUGGAGCCUUCCUGUACUCAGUGGGGGAUGCAGAACAGCUGAACAAGGCCACAAUUUGCCGUACAAUAAGGAAUGUGUGUCUGGCUAUCAAAGCAUUAGCAGAUGUCUUCAUCUCCUUCCCUGGCCACAGAAGACUCUGUGACAUCAAAGAGGAGUUCU